AUUGAACGCUGGCGGCAUGCCUUACACAUGCAAGUCGAACGGCAGCACGGGUGCUUGCACCUGGUGGCGAGUGGCGAACGGGUGAGUAAUACAUCGGAACAUGUCCUGUAGUGGGGGAUAGCCCGGCGAAAGCCGGAUUAAUACCGCAUACGAUCUACGGAUGAAAGCGGGGGACCUUCGGGCCUCGCGCUAUAGGGUUGGCCGAUGGCUGAUUAGCUAGUUGGUGGGGUAAAGGCCUACCAAGGCGACGAUCAGUAGCUGGUCUGAGAGGACGACCAGCCACACUGGGACUGAGACACGGCCCAGACUCCUACGGGAGGCAGCAGUGGGGAAUUUUGGACAAUGGGCGAAAGCCUGAUCCAGCAAUGCCGGGUGUGUGAAGAAGGCCUUCGGGUUGUAAAGCACUUUUGUCCGGAAAGAAAUCCUUGGCCCUAAUACGGUCGGGGGAUGACGGUACCGGAAGAAUAAGCACCGGCUAACUACGUG
rnacentral:rRNA from 1 species